rnacentral:rRNA from 1 species
CAAAGUUAAUAAGGGCGCACGGUGGAUGCCUUGGCACUAAGAGCCGAAGAAGGACGUGACUAACGACGAUAUUCUAGGGGGAGCAGUAAGUACGCAUUGAUCCCUAGGUCUCCGAAUGGGGAAACCCAGCUGCUACUAGCAGUUAUUCAUGAGUGAAUACAUAGCUCAUGUAAAGGUAACGCAGAGAACUGAAACAUCUAAGUACCUGCAGGAAGAGAAAGUAAAAACGAUUUCGUAAGUAGCGGCGAGCGAACGCGAAGAAGGGCAAACCAAGAAGCUUGCUUCUUGGGGUUGUAGGACUGCAACGUGGACUUAAGCAUUAUAGUCGAAUAACCUGGGAAGGUUAAUCAAAGAGGGUAAUAAUCCCGUAGACGAAAUAGCGCUUAUACCUAGCAGUAUCCUGAGUAGGGCUGGACACGCGAAAUCCAGUUUGAAUCCGGGAGGACCAUCUCCCAACCCUAAAUACUCCUUAGUGACCGAUAGUGAACCAGUACCGUGAGGGAAAGGUGAAAAGAACCCCGAGAGGGGAGUGAAAUAGCACCUGAAACCGUGUGCCUACAAGAAGUUCGAGCCCGUUAAUGGGUGAGAGCGUGCCUUUUGUAGAAUGAACCGGCGAGUUACGUUAUGAUGCGAGGUUAAGUUGAAGAGACGGAGCCGUAGGGAAACCGAGUCUGAAUAGGGCGACUUAGUAUCAUGAUGUAGACCCGAAACCUAGUGACCUAUCCAUGAGCAGGGUGAAGGUGUGGUAAGACGCACUGGAGGCCCGAACCAGGACACGUUGAAAAGUGUUUGGAUGACUUGUGGAUAGCGGAGAAAUUCCAAACGAACUGGGAGAUAGCUGGUUCUCUCCGAAAUAGCUUUAGGGCUAGCGUCGAAAUGUAAGUGUAUUGGAGGUAGAGCACUGUUUGGGUGAGGGGUCCGUCUAGGAUUACCAAUCUCAGAUAAACUCCGAAUGCUAAUACACAUGUUCGGCAGUCAGACUGCGAGUGCUAAGAUCCGUAGUCGAAAGGGAAACAGCCCAGACCAACAGCUAAGGUCCCAAAAUAUAUGUUAAGUGGAAAAGGAUGUGGGGUUGCACAGACAACUAGGAUGUUAGCUCAGAAGCAGCUAUCAUUCAAAGAGUGCGUAAUAGCUCACUAGUCGAGUGACCCUGCGCCGAAAAUGUACCGGGGCUAAACAUAUUACCGAAGCUUUGGAUUGAUAUUUUAUCAAUGGUAGGAGAGCGUUCUUAACCGCGAAGAAGGUAUACCGUGAGGAGUGCUGGAGCGUUAAGAAGUGAGAAUGCCGGUAUGAGUAGCGCAAGAUAAGUGAGAAUCUUAUCCACCGUAAGACUAAGGUUUCCAGGGGAAGGCUCGUCCGCCCUGGGUUAGUCGGGACCUAAGGCGAGGCCGAAAGGCGUAGUCGAUGGACAACUGGUUGAUAUUCCAGUACUAGAUAUGAUCGUGAUGGAGGGACGCAGUAGGCUAAGAGAUGCCAGUUAAUGGAUUCUGGUCUAAGCAGUGAGGUGUGAGAUGUGUCAAAUGCAUUUCUCUCUAACAUUGAGCUGUGAUGGGGAAGCAACUACGGUUGCGAACUCUCUGAUGUCACACUGCCAAGAAAAGCUUCUAGCGUAAAGUCAUAUCUACCCGUACCGCAAACCGACACAGGUAGUCGAGGCGAGUAGCCUCAGGUGAUCGAGAGAACUCUCGUUAAGGAACUCGGCAAAAUAGCCCCGUAACUUCGGGAGAAGGGGUGCUGGUGUAAAAGCCAGCCGCAGUGAAUAGGCCCAAGCAACUGUUUAUCAAAAACACAGCUCUCUGCUAAACCGCAAGGUGAUGUAUAGGGGGUGACGCCUGCCCGGUGCUGGAAGGUUAAGAGGAGUGCUUAGACGUAAGUCGAAGGUAUGAAUUGAAGCCCCAGUAAACGGCGGCCGUAACUAUAACGGUCCUAAGGUAGCGAAAUUCCUUGUCGGG